CCCACAUUUAUGUGUGUAGGACUUCAAAGGAUCACCAUUAAAUUUGGCACAGAUCUCUAAAAACAUUAUCACAUAAGUGUGAGACUUGACUUUUUUAGAGAUUUGUGUCAAAUUUAAUGAUGAUUCUUUGAGGUCCUACACACAUGGGUAUGGG
rnacentral:pre_miRNA from 1 species